CCCUGGCUCAGGACGAACGCUGGCGGCAUGCCUAAUACAUGCAAGUCGAGCGGAGUAAGAAUGGAAGCUUGCUUCCAUUCUUACUUAGCGGCGGACGGGUGAGUAACACGUAGGCAACCUGCCCUCAAGACUGGGAUAACUACCGGAAACGGUAGCUAAUACCGGAUAAUUUCUUUCCUCUCCUGAAGAGAGAAUGAAAGGCGGAGCAAUCUGCCACUUGGGGAUGGGCCUGCGGCGCAUUAGCUAGUUGGUGGGGUAACGGCUCACCAAGGCGACGAUGCGUAGCCGACCUGAGAGGGUGAACGGCCACACUGGGACUGAGACACGGCCCAGACUCCUACGGGAGGCAGCAGUAGGGAAUCUUCCGCAAUGGGCGAAAGCCUGACGGAGCAAUGCCGCGUGAGUGAUGAAGGUUUUCGGAUCGUAAAGCUCUGUUGCCAGGGAAGAACGUCCGGUAGAGUAACUGCUACCGGAGUGACGGUACCUGAGAAGAAAGCCCCGGCUAACUA
rnacentral:rRNA from 7 species